AGAUCUCAGCCCCUUCCGGGACUAAACCCACCGCCUCUGCUACCAAUGGCGCCACCACCAGCUCUCCGCCUCCUCGCCCUAACGCUCGCCCUCCUUCUCUCGCCGGCGGCGUCGCUCUCCAUCGGCGUCAACUACGGCACCCUCGCUGACAAUCUCCCGCCGCCGACACAGGUGGCGGCUUUCCUCAAGGAGCGCACCUUCAUCGACCGCGUCAAGCUGUUCGACUCCAACCCCGACCUCAUCCGCGCCUUCGCCGGCACCGGCAUCUCCGUCAUGAUCACCGCUCCCAACGGCGACAUCCCCUCCCUCGCCAAGCUCCCCGGCGCCCAAGCCUGGGUCGCCGCCCACGUCGCCCCCUUCUACCCCGCCACCAACAUCUCCCUUAUCGCCGUCGGCAACGAGAUCAUGGCCACCGGCGACCGCUUCCUCAUCGCGCACCUCGUCCCCGCCAUGCGCUCCCUCUCCGCCGCCUUGGUCCAGGCCGGAUUCCCCAAGAUCCGCGUCUCCACGCCCCACUCCCUCGGGAUUCUCUCCGCCUCCGAGCCGCCUUCCUCCUCCCGGUUCCGGCGAGGCUAUGAUCGGGCUGUCUUCGCCCCGAUGCUGGAUUUCCACCGGAAAACCAAAUCUCCGUUCGUCGUCAACCCCUAUCCCUACUUUGGCUACAAUCCGAGGACCCUAAACUACGCCCUCUUUAAGCCUAACCGCGGGGUGUUCGAUCCCGUUACGAAGAUAAACUACACCAACAUGUUCGACGCGCAGCUCGACGCCGUUUACACGGCGAUGAAAAAGCUCGGGUACGGCGACGUGGAGAUCGCCGUCGGUGAGACGGGGUGGCCCACGGCGGCGGAGCCGGGGCAGGCCGGCGUGAGCGUGGAGGACGCGGCGACGUUCAACGGGAACUUGAUACGGAAUGUGAACUCCGGCGAGGGCACGCCGUUGAUGCCGCAUCGGAUGUUCGAGACUUAUAUCUUUGCCCUGUUUAACGAGAACCUGAAGCCCGGGCCCAUCGCGGAGCGGAAUUGGGGACUCUUUCGACCGGAUUUGACUCCGGUCUACAAUGUCGGGCUUAUGAAAACUCCGCUGGGGGUGUCGGCCUGUCUGUCCGGAAUAGAUCACUAUCUCCGCUUCUCGAUGCCCCGCGUGGUGGUAUUUUCGUAGUUGUGGGGAAGUUGGUGGGUUUUCAGUUCAGCCACGACGCGUUUUGUUAUUCGUGGCUCGCGUAAUUAGCUGAAAGCCGAGACGAGUGAGUCCGGUGGUGGUGGUGGUGCGACGCCGGCGCCGUCGGGCAGGAAGUGGUGCGUGCCCAAGUCCGACGCGAGCGACGCGGCGCUUCAGGCGAACAUAAACUACGCGUGCAGCAGCGGGAUCGUGGACUGCAAGCCGAUCCAGGAAGGAGGGGCGUGCUUCCUCCCCAACAGCCUCCGGGCUCAUGCCGCCUUCGCCAUGAACGCCUACUACCAGGCCGCCGGCCGCCACAACUUCAACUGUGACUUUUCCAACUCCGCCGUCAUCACCUCCGCCGACCCCAGCUCGGGGAGCUGCAAGUUUAGCUCGUGAGCGUCGGACCAUGCAGCUAGCAUCCGGAGUCGAUUUUUAUUUUCAUUUAUUUAUUUGCUGCUUCAUUUCACUCGCUAAGUUAUCGGCCUUCGUUGUUGUGGGAAUAGUGGCUAGUAUUUAUCUAUUAAUUGGAAUGAUGGAAGUUUUGAAUCCGAUGGCGUAACAUUGUAACUGCCAAGCAAGAACGGUUUCAACUAAUUAAUAUUGUUAAUUAUGUAUUAGUAGGCUUUUUGGCAUUUUAAAGUUCAGUGCCUUGGCACGUGACUUCUCUCUAUUCUGAAUACAAUUGCUGAGAUUUUCUGGA